rnacentral:snRNA from 1 species
GGAAUAAACCCCUUUAUAAGAAAA